rnacentral:ncRNA from 1 species
CCUAGGUUCUUGAGGAAAGAUCAAAAGGGAAGAUCCGUGAAAAUCGGACGCAGCCCCCGCUGCCGUAACGGCUUUGCGAUGCGCAAGAGGAUUGCCUCAGCCACUGGCCUUGUGCUGGGAAGGCGUUGUAUCGCGAUAAAGCCUGAGCCGGAAGACCUGCCUUGGUGG